UACAGAGGGGGCAAGCGUUGUCCGGAGUUACUGGGCGUAAAGCGUGCGCAGGCGGUUGUGCAAGACCGAUGUGAAAUCCCCGGGCUUAACCUGGGAAUGGCAUUGGUGACUGCACGGCUAGAGUGUGUCAGAGGGGGGUAGAAUUCCACGUGUAGCAGUGAAAUGCGUAGAGAUGUGGAGGAAUACCGAUGGCGAAGGCAGCCCCCUGGGAUAACACUGACGCUCAUGCACGAAAGCGUGGGGAGCAAACAGG
rnacentral:rRNA from 1 species